rnacentral:rRNA from 1 species
UGGUACGCGAGCUGGGUUUAGAACGUCGUGAGACAGUUCGGUCCCUAUCUGCCGUGGGCGCUGGAGAAUUGAGGGGGGCUGCUCCUAGUACGAGAGGACCGGAGUGGACGCAUCACUGGUGUUCGGGUUGUCAUGCCAAUGGCACUGCCCGGUAGCUAAAUGCGGAAGAGAUAAGUGCUGAAAGCAUCUAAGCACGAAACUUGCCCCGAGAUGAGUUCUCCCUGAGACUUUAAGUCUCCUGAAGGAACGUUGAAGACGACGACGUUGAUAGGCCGGGUGUGUAAGCGCAGCGAUGCGUUGAGCUAACCGGUACUAAUGAACCGUGAGGCUUAACCUUACAACGCCGAAG